AAGAUUUUGAAAAUAAUAUGAAAAAAGGGAAGGCCAAGGUUAACAUCAUUCCCCUGGAAAACCAGUUGUACUUUGUGGCUAACAGCAACACAAUAAAAUACUGCUCUGUCUGGCAUUACUCAUUGAAAUAAAACACUGAAGGAGUUUUUGGGAAAGUAAGGUCAUAUGUUGUGUUUAGUCCACACCACAUCCCCAUUGCCUGAAAGUCUUGGCUUUUAUUUUAUCCUGAAAAAAAUGAAUCCUUGUGAAAGGGUGUGGUGAACGCCUGCUACAUUCUUUGCUGCUCGGAGGAGUCUGUAAUUGCUUCCAGCUUCUGAGGGAUCUACUGAAGAAAAGUAGUGUCACGUCUUUAUCAAGAAUCUCCCAUCUACAGCACUCGACUCUUAUCAAAGACGGUGCAAGUGAAGCAUUCAAUCACUCUCACAUCUGCUACAGUAACUCCGCCUUAUACCCAAAUCCCAAAUAAAGUCUGUUUUUACGAGUAGCACUAGCAAUUAAAUGAACAACUAAUCUUAUGUGUGGGACGUAUAAAGCUUUACAUUAACACCUGUGCUGUUUAUCCAUCCUGUAGUCAGAGAGUCACUGCACUCCUACAACAAGAACUGCUGGAGGAGGUCUGCACAUCUGCUGUGGGGAGAUGUGUUCAUGUGUCCAAGGAGACAGUUGGAGCCAAAGGCAGAAGCCCAGCUGUUGAUCUGGGUUCACACAGGAGCAAUGCAAGCUCCAGAGAUUACUUAACCCAUGAACAGGCUGGCAUUGACUGGAAUAAUAAACUAAGGAAGACUUUCAUUAUCUUCGUGCGUUACCAUUAAAAUACUCCAAAAAGUUG